UACGGAGGGGGCAAGCGUUGUUCGGAAUUACUGGGCGUAAAGCGCACGUAGGCGGCUUUGUAAGUCAGGGGUGAAAUCCCGAGGCUCAACCUCGGAACUGCCUUUGAUACUGCAAAUCUCGAGUCCGGAAGAGGUGAGUGGAAUUCCUAGUGUAGAGGUGAAAUUCGUAGAUAUUAGGAAGAACACCAGUGGCGAAGGCGGCUCACUGGUCCGGUACUGACGCUGAGGUGCGAAAGCGUGGGGAGCAAACAGG
rnacentral:rRNA from 1 species